AGCUUUUCGAAUCCGUGCUGAGAUUUCUUCAAACACCAACCCAUUAAUGCUGGUCAGACUUCCAAGAUAAGUGAAGUU
rfam:Schistosoma curassoni strain Dakar, Senegal genome assembly, scaffold: SCTD_contig0029367